rnacentral:ncRNA from 1 species
UUGCUGUUUUGACAAAAUUAGUUGAUAAAAGUAAAGCCACGCGCUUGAUCAAUUAGGUGAAAUAAUGGGUUCCAGUCAAACAUUGCUAACAUAAAAUAUGGCAUUGUGUUUGCACGAACAUUUUGCCUGAAGCGAUUAUGUUUGCUC